rnacentral:rRNA from 1 species
UGGGGAAUUUUGGACAAUUGGGGAAACCCUGAUCCAGCCAUCCCGCGUGUGCGAUGAAGGCCUUCGGGUUGUAAAGCACUUUUGGCAGGAAAGAAACGUCAUGGGUUAAUACCCCGUGAAACUGACGGUACCUGCAGAAUAAGCCCCGGCUAACUACGUGCCAGCAGCCGCGGUAAUACGUAGGGUGCAAGCGUUAAUCGGAAUUACUGGGCGUAAAGCGUGCGCAGGCGGUUCGGAAAGAAAGAUGUGAAAUCCCAGAGCUCAACUUUGGAACUGCAUUUUUAACUACCGGGCUAGAGUGUGUCAGAGGGAGGUGGAAUUCCGCGUGUAGCAGUGAAAUGCGUAGAUAUGCGGAGGAACACCGAUGGCGAAGGCAGCCUCCUGGGAUAACACUGACGCUCAUGCACGAAAGCGUGGGGAGCAAACAGG